CACGUAGGGGGCAAGCGUUGUCCGGAUUUAUUGGGCGUAAAGAGCGUGUAGGCGGCUUGGUAGGUCCGCUGUGAAAACUCGAGGCUCAACCUCGAGAUGUCGGCGGAAACCACUUGGCUAGAGUCCGGAAGAGGAGAGUGGAAUUCCUGGUGUAGCGGUGAAAUGCGCAGAUAUCAGGAAGAACACCUAUGGCGAAGGCAGCUCUCUGGGACGGUACUGACGCUGAGACGCGAAAGCGUGGGGAGCGAACAGG
rnacentral:rRNA from 1 species